AAUAAUUGACUUCUAAGUAUACAAACAGAGAAAAAAAAAUUACCAUUUUUCAAGUUCAAUCUUUUCUCUCUUCUUAGAGUAUUAAUUUUAGUUGUUAAGUGCUGAUUCAAUUGCAAAUUGCUUAUUAAGCAUUCAAAUUACAGUUUUAUUUUUAAAAAACUUUAAAUCAAUAUUUAAUUUUGAAGUUUUAUUAUUGCCAAAAUCUAAAUUGUUCUCUUGCUGCAUACAAAUCUAUCUCUUAUCAUUAUAAAAUAUUCAGAGCAAACGGUACGUGAUAAAAACUAUCUUCGAAAUCUACGUCGGGGGGUGGUUCGACAGGACGCUGGCACGGCAGGGUGAAAGGAUGUCUGAAGGUCGUUCAUUGCCCCCAAAGAAUAACUGCCGACUAAAGCUAAUUGCGUUAAUUUCUUGCGUUGAAAUUCAAUAGAGUUAUGAAUAAAUUAAACAAGAUAGAAAAUUAUAUUAUAGAUAUAAAUCUUUUUAGAAAACAUGUUUAAAUAUAUAUAUGUGUGUGUGUGUAUUUAUUCUUAAAAAACAAUAGUUUUUAUACAAAAUUAUUUUUUGUUAAAACGCAUAUUAACAUAAAUUAUUUGAAAUAAAAAUAUAAAAAGUAUAAAUAAAAUAUUUUACGUCAAUUUCAAUUGUCUCAGAUGCAAAAAAGUAAAUUCUUCUAUUUAUUAUAUUAAUUAGUUUAAAUUACAAUCAACAAAUUUCUAUAUUAAUUAUUUAUUGGGUGUUUACGAAUGGUAAAGCAGAUUUUUUUAUAUAAUAAUAACAUUAAAUAUCUAAUUAAAUAUCUAAUUAAAUAUUUAUGUAAUACAUAAUAUAUAAAUGAUAAAUUAAAUAAUAAUAAAUUACCCUAAAUUGUAUUCUAAAAUUAUGAUAUUGAAGAUAUGAAAUAUAAGAAGUAGAUAUAACUUUGAUAUUAUUAGAUUAUAAGACAUUCUUCUCUUCGUUGGUUGCUUUUUUUAUGAUCAAACUUUUCUAAUCCCGGUAACGAAGAAAGUAAAGAAAGUUAACUCUGAUAAAACAGUUCUGUCCUGUAGAAAAAUACAUAUCUAGUGCAAUAUAGAGUAAUGAAACUUGAAGUUGCUUUCAAAAGUUAGAAUUGAACGGAAGGUAGAAAAUUCGAUGUUCUAUAAUGCAAAUCGAUCUUUAGUCCUGACAUGAAUGUGUAAUACUCACUCCUAAGAUCAAUUACCAGACGUCCAUCAAGAAAUAAGCCCGUUGAAAGCAAAUGACUCAUCUUCGCUCAAGAGCACUUCGUAAAUGUCGAGUUUUUUUUUAUGAAAAAAAUGAAACUCGUGAAUUACGUAGGUAGUCUGCUUUAAGCCUCAGCAUGGAGAUGUCGUUACUCGUCAAAACUAUUCUGGUACUACAAUUGUACAUGCUUUUAAAGAUACCUCUUAAAAUUUCAGCCAUUUUGGACGCUCAGUUGUUGUUUGACAGUCGUUUGUGUCAGUCGACGUCAGUGUUUUUGUAAAAAUGGAAAAAAUCAAAUAUCAUACCGUGAUUAAAUUUUUGCAUUUAAAAGGUAAUACGCCUGCGCAAACUAAAGCCGUGUUGGACGCUGUUAAGAGGAGUUUUGCUCCAUCAUUUGCCAUCGUCAAAAGAUGGGCAGCUGAAUUUAAACGUGGGCGUACCAACUUGGUUGAUAAUGAGCGUUCGGGGCGGCCAACAACUGCGACCACUACCGAUAACAUCGAAAAAAUUCACGAAAUGAUAUUGGAUAAUCAUUAAAUCAAUGUUAAAGAGAUAGUAAAAAUUAUGGACAUAUUGAAUUUAUCAUCUAUUACAUGAAGAAUUGAACAUGAGAAAGCUGACUGUGCCUUGGAUGCCACGCUUCUCACUUUGGCCCAAAAACGUAUUCAAAUAAAUAUUUCCAAAGCCCUGUUGGAGCGAUUUAAGCGAAACGAAUCGGAUUUUUUGCAUCGAUUCAUAACUGUAAAUGAAACUUGGAUCCAUUACUACACUCCUAAGACAAAAGAAAGAUCAAAACAGUGGAUUGCGAAGGGUGAAUCUGCUCCGAAAAAGUUGAAGACGGUUUCAUCGACCGAAAAGAAAUAUCAAGAAUUGAUCGAGAUUGUUCAAUUACAUUAUCCAUUAUGAUAACAUCUUGGAUGUUGGUCUAAAGGUUCGCGUCAAUCAUCUUACCAUCUUAAGAAAACAAUCGUGCAAAUGUUUCGCCUUAUCGCUAACGUGGAAAGCUCUAGCGCGAAAUUGAAUGGCAAUGAAGGAGAGUCCUAAAUCGAGAUGGUGAUGAACGAAAGAAUAACACGGAAGCGAGAUUGAGGAUAGUCAGCUUCGACGUGACGAUGAGAAAGAAUCAGAUAAGGAAGCGUGGCUCUUCCACUGACAUUUCCUUUGUUUAAGAAUCAAGAUAAGGCCUGGCAAGGCCCAUAUGGAAGGUCCUAUGUUUGAGCACGGGCAGGAACAAACCGGGCGCACCUCCUUUCCUCUCACUCUCGAGUCAAAUAUUAUCGGGUGCGCGUAUACAUAUGUAUUUAUCCGCAUAGUUUACUCCGGACACCUGCCUGCAACCUAUGGAUCAGCACCUCGACACCUAACCAUCGCAUGAUUAAACCUCCCUUCAUUGGAAUUUUUCGCAAAAUAAAUAAUUGAUAAUCCAGUUUCUAUCGUUUUUUAUAAUUUAUUUAAUACUUUUGUUGAAGCUAAAUCAAACGACCGGUUUACUGCAACUGUGUGGUUAAAAGAUAUAAUUAUUUAUACUAAGACCAAAUAAAAGAACAAAUCGCGCAAUCGAAUCGUUUGAAACAGAAAUAUUCUAACUUUAAAAAAUGCAGUUAAAAGCAAUAUGUUUAAUCAAUUUGAGUUAAAUUUUUGAAUAUUUUUGAGAAUAGCGAAAACAAUAUCGUGUAAAAUAUUUAUUAUGCAAUAUAUUGACUCUUAAAAAUCUAUUUUAGAGAUUUAUAAAAUACACAACGAUGAAGUUGAAGAAUCUAACAAAAAAUAUAGGUAUACAAACAAUUAUAACUUCGAGAUCAUUUUUCCACAAAACCUCCAUCAAGAUUUAGGGAAAAUCGAAAACAUAUCCUAGAUAGAUCCUUUUGUGAAAAUCGAUGUCUUCGUGUAGAUAGGUCCCGUAUUUGCAAUGCACUUGUGACGGUGCGAGCUUGAAGCUGGCUCGAAUGACAUCGAUGGGCACCGUAGCAUAGUUUUCCCGGCCACGCAAAUAUUUGCUGGAAGGUGAAAGAGUCCUCUUUAAAUUCCACUGGGCAAUCGGCGCCUCAACGUUCAAAAUAACCUUAGAGUUUAAAGCUCCUCCUCUAAGAUCAACAGAGAUCAUAACGAGAUGAUCCUUUAACGGGUAACGGCAAUCGAGAGCUCGAAUUUCGUUCCCAGGACCGGUGCGCACGUUUGUGCUAUGCAGGAUUAAGCAAUCACGUGGACUGAUGGUACCUUGAUAGCGAUGCUAAUGUCGGGUCGAAAGGGCCUAGCACGCGUUUAUGGCCCUUCCGUUUGCUUAGGCAAAUCGAAGACAUUCGCGGUCGAAGGGCGAGUAUAUGUAUCUUCGGUGUUGGAAACCGUGAGCCUGCAAUAAAGAACUAUUACAGUGGCAUCAAAGUGACGAAGCCUACUCAUAAAAAAUUCUUUUUUUUCUCCCACUAGAAACACAUAGUUAUUACUAAAUAAACCAGGAGAACAUCCAGUGAACAUAAAAUGGAAGGAAGAUAUGAAAGAAGAAAAUGAAAAUUUUUUCUCCCUAAAUUUUUUUUUAAUAUAUCCAUGUUAUAUGUUGCGACACAUAUUUAUUAAAUUUGUAUAUCUCUCUCUCUUUUCUUUUCUCAACUUGAAA